AGGUUCCACUGUACUUUUACCCCCUCCCUCCUCUCCCCCCAUUUUGUGACCCUAUGUGGGUCAGACACACUUCAUUCAUUUCUGCUGGAAAAGGCCAUUUGGGAUGGUGAAACACCUUUCAUCAUCAAAAGUGGUAAAAAAGUAGUUUUUAUUACUAUUGUGGGCUAGUUAGAGUAAACGUGUGUGGGUUGUGUGAGAUAUCUGUUUAGAAUAUCUAGAAAUUGGGCCAAAUCUUAGCCACACUUAAAGCAAGUUAAUGUACCAUAAAUGGGCCUGGUACCCCAUAUUUGGUAUCCAGGUUGUGGGGCGAUAAACUGUGUUGGUACAGAUAACAGGGUUCAGAGUGAAUCAAACAUGUCCAACAAAAUGUAUUUGAAUUGUGAUGAAAUACAAAAGCUCGUUUUGAUUAGAUUAUUUUAUGUAACCGACGUCCAGGAUUAGUGUGGACAUGACCUUAGCCUCCCUGUUUCCUGUUCAGGAGAAACUAUGCUCUCUGCUGUUGGCCUCGGGCUAAACUUCUGCUGUUUUUGUCUUGUUAUUUUCUGUCAGGACUACAUGAAGAGUUCAUUGGUAAUAAAAAGUGAUUGUCAUUUCUUUACAGUUGUGUGUAUCAGCGAUCCAAUACACAUGACGCGGGCCCGUUUCUGUUCCAGCCAAUAAAGUGCAGAGAAAAGUCAGCUGGGGAAGCAAACAGUACUCUGCCUCACCACAAGGGGUCGUACGUGAACUAACAGGUGUUCUCCAGCUGACGUCAACAGGCAAUUUAAAGUCGGCGCUAAGCUAGAGCCGGUAGUAGGUGAAGAACAGCGUUUGUUAUGCCCUGUCUGAUCCGACUCACUGUGGAUUGUAUUUCAAGACGGAAACAUUUCUCAAAACUGGACUUCCGGUCCAAACAGAAGGUGAUAAGUGAUGGAAGACCAACGCCGGAGCUAAAAGGUUAGCUUCAAACUACGGGACAGAUUAGUCGUUCUUUUUGAAUGGAGUGGUACAAACGAGAAGACUGGCUGUGUGGCUGUCCUGUAAGAAACCGCCAUUACUGCUGUCCUUGUCUGUUAUUCUCAUCGUGUGACAACGUCUGGACUAACUCAGGAUACUGUGACAGAGCCAGAGUUCUUUAAAAACUUUUGGAAAUUCAAGGAUCGAUUUGACAUUGGAUGAGCAACGGAAACAAUGCUAAGGUGAGGGAAACCCGAGAGAUACAACGGUGGACUUCAUCUAUGAGUAAAGAGUUAGUGCCUCAGCAGCCAUGAACCUCACCGCACGUCACUGGUCAAAAACCAUGCGGUCCUCACUCAGCCAUUCAGAAGAGAUCACCUCACGUCACAGAUCACAUGGCUGUGGCAUUUGACCAAUCAGCAGAGAUCUGGAGCGCAUCUAAUUUUCUCACUCCACUGAAGCUGGAAAAAGACGCUCAAAAGCCCAACUCGCCGUACAUUUCUGUACAAAACUUCUAAACUAACUAUGAUGGGAAAAACACAUUGAGAAGUGGAUUGGAGGUUGGACCCAGACCCAGACCUAGUCCCAGUCUCUGCUGCUGCUGCUGGUUUACAGGCUCCAGCCAGGGAGCAGAACUGACCUUUCUUCAUCCAUACAUUCAUGUGUCCAGUCCUCUUCACUCCUUUAUCAGCUGUUGGUUUCAACAUAUCCUCCUCAGUUUUUCUCUCUCUUCAUCCUCAGUAACCUCUGCAGAAACUCUGCCUCAAAGAAGUAUUUGUCCAAAAAAGAGAAAAGAAAAAAGAGGAACAGAAAUGGGAAAAAAAGAGAAAUCCAGGAGGUCGACCGGGGUCACCGGAACUCGUAGAUGGACGCACUGUGCUCAGGAACGUGGGUGAGGUUUAGAGACUGGUACCUGUAAAGAAACAACAAAAAGUGAGUUAGAGCAUAUAGGAUUAAGAAAAAAAAACCCAAUUAUUUCUUAAAAUUAAAAUAAUAAUCUAAUCAUGAAGACACUUUCAGCUUUUAACCACCUCUGUGAUUAUUUGAAAUUUGAACCAGCGAGCUCUUUCCCAGGCUUCACCACACCAGUGUCAUGAGGUGGUCUUACCAUUCGGAGCUCCUGUGGUAGUAGUAGCCCUCGAUGGUGGCUGUAGAUUUCUGGAAGCAGAUGUAGUAGAAUCCAGCAAACGACGCUCCGCUGAUGUCUUUGAUUGUGUGAUCGGGGACCAGGAACUGCUCCUGCAGGGGGAGGGGCAGCAGAGUUGGGGUCAGUGGUACCCUACAUCAUGUGUGAUGACCAAAGGAGAUGGUUUAUAUGGGCAGCACCUUACCUUCCACCUCAUAAAAAUAAAGUCUGAGUUCUUCAGGUCUUCAUAA